rnacentral:rRNA from 1 species
UGCAGUCGAGGGGUAUAGGUUUUCUGACCUAGAGACCGGCGCACGGGUGCGUAAUGCGUAUGCAAUCUACCUUUCACAGAGGGAUAGCCCAGAGAAAUUUGGAUUAAUACCUCAUAGUAUUAUAGAGUGGCAUCAUUUUAUAAUUAAAGUUCCAACGGUGAAAGAUGAGCAUGCGUCCCAUUAGCUAGAUGGUAAGGUAACGGCUUACCAUGGCUACGAUGGGUAGGGGUCCUGAGAGGGAGAUCCCCCACACUGGUACUGAGACACGGACCAGACUCCUACGGGAGGCAGCAGUGAGGAAUAUUGGUCAAUGGACGCAAGUCUGAACCAGCCAUGCCGCGUGCAGGAUGACGGUCCUAUGGAUUGUAAACUGCUUUUGUACGAGAAGAAACACUCCUACGUGUAGGAAUUUGACGGUAUCGUAAGAAUAAGGAUCGGCUAACUCCGUGCCAGCAGCCGCGGUAAUACAGAGGAUCCAAGCGUUAUCCGGAAUCAUUGGGUUUAAAGGGUCCGUAGGCGGUUUAGUAAGUCAGUGGUGAAAGCCCAUCGCUCAACGGUGGAACGGCCAUUGAUACUGCUAGACUUGAAUUAUUAUGAAGUAACUAGAAUAUGUAUUGU